GUGCUCGCUUCUGCAGCACAUAUACUAAGAUUGGAAUGAUACAGAGAAGAUUAACAUGGCCCCUGCACAAGCAUGACACCCAAAUUUGUGAAGCAUUCCAUGUGUUU